CAAAGCACUGCUUUUGUCUAAAGGAAACUCCUCAACUCACUUGAGCAGUGUUCCUUGGUCCCCACGUAAUAGUGAAUGCCAAACAGUAAACAAGUUCACUCCGUAAUAGAUACCUUGGAGUCCAGUACAUUAGUGUAGUAUGUUGCUAAUGACAGUAAUGGAGUCAUAUGUCACCGUCUUUUUCGGAGAGUAUACAUUAAGAAAAAUCAAUAACAAGGCGAAGUUCUUGUUGGCCCAUCAAUCACUUGCAGCUCUGUGAUUGUCCUCUCCUCCUUUCUGCUCUUCCUCUCACUUCCUUAUCUGUGCUCCAGACUUCCUUCUUCCUCCUCCUAUUCACCCCCCCCAACUUUUUUUUUUUUUUUUUUUCCACAGACCCCUCUCUGUUUUGGCCCUGGUAUUUUUCCACUGGAGGUGGACAGGGCACCUCUCGACUCGACAUUGUAGUAUGUGUGGGCAGGCAUGCGUCAUAUGUGUGUACUCUGCUCAUUCACUGCAUUUCACACAUAGUUUUGCAAAUCCAGCCUGUGGCCCACCAUCGCCCCCUGAAGGACACUUUUAGCCACGCUGAGUGGUUUCCUCUAGUUUAAUUAAAUCAGGGAUUUUUAAUGCAAACAUCUUGCUGAAUUUAUGCCCCAUUUAGCCUUUUGCUAUUUAUGCCUGACAGAAUGUGAGAAGGGGAGGAAAAAAGUGGGUGGGUGAAAGGAUUUAGGGGGCAGAGGGGAGGAGUAGAGGUCUGGGCAGAGGGUGAAACCGCGUGGUGAAAAAUUAGCCUGGACCAAGAGCGCUGGUUUAUUAAGUCAGCAUUAAGAGACGGAACAACCCCGAGGUGAAGACGUGAGGGGGUUGGGCUCAUUUGUGAGAAUAAAGCGAGGCUAGGCCAAGGGAGGAGAGAGUGGACACUGAUGGAUAGAUGGAAGGGGGGGGGGGAGAUGUUUGAAUGAAUGAUUUGUUUAUUCUGCAAAUGUCAAAAUGUACAUAAAAGCACUGGGAAGAGCAGAUAGUGAAGAGAAUGAGGCGAAAGAAUUGUACAAAAACAAGUCCGGGAUGCUAGGAUGACAAUUUGACGACAUUUGCUUGAUAGCAAAUCAACAAUACAUUUAUAUGAUUCGUAGUCAAUAAAUAAUAUAAAAUAAAUAUAAAAAAGUUACAUUGCUGCGAAUCACUGUCUUCAAGGACAGCUUUUUUUUUUUUAUUAUUUUGGCAGCAAAACUAGUCGAGCAAACUCUGCCGGGCCUCUCCAUGUUGUCGCAAUCGCUAAAUUAACGCCACUUGAGUGACAGAACGAGUAAUUAUCCGUUAAUCAGCGACAGUGUUAUUAAAGUCAAUAGGCUGUAAGCGAGUCAUCCAGCAGUGGAAGAACCACUGACAGCUCCUAAGGAGGUGGAAAUCUGACACACCCGACUGAAUUAAUAGGGUAUUAAAUGAGCACAUCCGAGUACGGGUCCUUAGCGCUAAACUAGCCAAACCGCAACCCCCCCCCCAAAAUGGCGGUGGCGGGAGUGCAUCGAAGGUUCAUCUGUUUAGUGUUUCGGUGUUGCUGACCGCGUUUUUUUUUUUUUGCGCGUGCGAAACAGAUACGUGUACUGCUGCUGCUGACUCGGGGGGGCCCCGUCGGUGUGUGCGCGCGAGAAGCAUAGCAACCGUGAACUCUGACCUUCUGACCCACGCGUUCCCCAGUGAAAGGGAAUGUCAGUUGUUUGACCAGCCAGUCAAGUGCUCCGGGGACAAAUGGAAGCACUGUAGUACGGUCAGGGUGAAACGGAGAAAGGGCGAGCGAUGGGCGGAGGGAGGGGAAGUGGAAAAAUGUGGCGGCAGAAUGUGACAACGGUGAAACAAGCUGCUCCCUCGCUCUCCAAAUGUUACAUUGGCGUGCAAACAUUGCCUGGUGAUGCAAAAAGCUCAUUAGUGCGAAUUGACCUACCUCUGCCGCAAACAGUCGACCUUAAUAAACAGAUGUGUUCAGGAGCCCGCGGCAUGAGUUGCCCUCAAUUGUCAUGCUGGCACCAGGCGCUAACGCUUUAUUUCAACGCAUCGCUCCAACUUGGCGCAAUGCUGCUGACCCAGGAGGAAAGACACAAUGUCCAAAGUUGGUCCAGCAGAAGCGUAGCAGCUACAUUUGCCAACGUAGCAUAGCCAUGUUAGCUCGUUUAACAUAUCGCUCUUUAAAACAUAUUGUAAUCGCCGCAAAUUGCUGAAAGAAUAGGCUCAUUCACCGGUUCGCUUUCACUCACUUUAUUGAAAAGCAGUAAGAAAACAAACAAACACCUAAAAAAACGCUUUUAUUCACAAGGACACAACUCACUGGCUAACAGGCUAGCUAGUAAACUAUCAGCUAACGCUACAUGUUAUGCCCAAGGCUUGGUCCCGCCUCUUAAAUUCCAAGCCCAAUUGAACAAAAACAUGAUCCGAACCUCACAUGUAUAUUAUUGCGAUUAAUAAUAUAAAAUCAAUAUACCAAAGUAGUUUUUAACUACAACCUUUCUGAAGUCUGCUCCUCUCUCUCUCUCUCUGUCUCUCUCUCUUAAUGAGACUAAUGUGAGCCUUCAGAGCACCUUCCCAUGAGAAUCGCACGCAGGAAAACCUGGGCUAAUUGGGUUUUGCAACAACACGAGCCCACACACACAUAAACGCACACCUGACACACACACACACACACACACACACACACACAAAAUGCAGCUUCAGUAUCACGUUAACGCGACUCUCACCCCCGUGAGAAGUGUCAGCCUGUGGCAAGCGAGAGACGAGAGAGCUUUGAUGGGCCAGAUGUAAAAGGGCGGGAAACCCGCCGCGGCCCUCGGGAACAUUUCAUCCGAUAUUUUAAAAAACAAAUGAAAACCGCCGAAUCCGCAAAUGCUCACAAUACAUCAUCAUAAACAUUUUCUGAUUGUUGCGUCAUUCGGAUACGUUUCAAAACAACUGCCAAAUAGUUUAAUUGUGAGAAAAGCACGCUCAUAAAUUGAACACAUCCGCCGCAAUCAUGGUAAAGCGAACGCUCCACGGGGGGGGGGCCAAGGUGCCGAGGUUGGAGGGGCCCCCGGAGCCUUGAGGCCUGCACGCUAUGGGGAGGGGAAGGCUAUAAUUACACCCGAUUCGUUUCUCCGCCCCUCCUUUUCUAGUCAACUCAUCGGCCCCAGACCGCUUAACAGCUUUUAAUUAGCUCGGCUAUUGGAGGCGCCGAAUAAAAGACGACUUUUCCCCCCCCCCCCCCCCCCCUUAAUGAUAAAUGGUGUUAAUGGAAUUGGCAACACUAUCCAUUUGCUCCGCUUUAGCCAAGCUAGAAAACAAAACUUUAGUUAGUUGAAAAAAAAUAAAUAUAAUAGAAAGAAACAACAAAGCAGCAUUUCAUUCUUGUCUAUAUUUUGAAUGUUUGAGGAAAGGGGGGGGGGCGAGCAAGCAACCUAACAAGUUUAGAAUUGCGCUCGGCUAACAAAGCAUGUUUUGACUGGCGGGUUACGGCUAACGCACACGUAUGCACACAUGCCGAGGCAGGAAGGAGGGGUUAAAGGCCCGUGAUUGGAGCCACUGUGUCUGCUUAGGCCAGGGGGUCCGAGAAGGAGCCACAACAACAGGAGGCGGUUUGGAGAAGAGGGGGUAAAGAGGCACCACGUCCUGCGCUUUGAUGCUAACAGACGCGCAAACGCCACACGGGAGCCACUGUCGCUUUGGUUCACAAGCAUGUUUCAAUUCAAAUUAAAAUCACACCUUGACUUUAGUUUUUAGUUUUAGAUUUUUUUUUGCAUGGCUUAACAUUAACAGUGAAAUAAUUGACUGCCAACCAAGUUGAUAUCUUGCUAACCGUCAAUGGCACUGAAUGAGUUAAAGCCCAAACUAUAUAUAUUGUUUUAAAUUUUUAAUUGGAAUAAUUUCAUUAGCUUUGAUUAACUACAGUAACCUCUGUUGAGGCGCAACCUUUGCGACGUCAAAGUGGAGACGGCGGCGAGGCUUGAAAAGAGCCGUAAAACCCGAAAGGAAGGAUGAAGAUGAAAAGAGAGCAGGAGGGCGUCAGUUUGACUCGACCCCGCCCCCUUUGUCUCCGUCUUUGAAGGAGCAAAGUAGAGAAAACAGUUUUAAAGAAAAAAAAGAGUGUGUGUGUUUUUUU